AGAAUCAACGCUGGCGGCGCGCCUAACACAUGCAAGUCGAACGAGAAAGCCGCAAGGUGAGUAAAGUGGCGUACGGGUGAGUAACACGUGGAUUAUCUACCCUCUAGUGGGGAAUACCGUUGGGAAACCGACGACAAUACCGCAUAAGCUCGAGAGAGGAAAGCGCCUUAAAACGCGCUGGAGGAGGAGUCCGCGGUCGAUUAGUUAGUUGGCAGGGUAAAAGCCUACCAAGACUGUGAUCGAUAGCCGGCCUGAGAGGGCACACGGCCACACUGGCACUGAAACACGGGCCAGACUCCUACGGGAGGCAGCAGUGGGGAAUCUUGCACAAUGGAGGAAACUCUGAUGCAGCGACGCCGCGUGAGCGAUGAAGCCCUUCGGGGUGUAAAGCUCUUUCGGCAGGGAAGAUUAUGACGGUACCUGCAGAAGCAGCUGCGGCUAACUACGUGCCAGCAGCCGC
rnacentral:rRNA from 1 species